GACGAACGCUGGCGGCGUGCUUAACACAUGCAAGUCGAACGGAAAGGCCCUGCUCUUGUGGGUUUCUCGAGUGGCGAACGGGUGAGUAACACGUGAGUAACCUGCCCUUGUCUUUCGGAUAACUUCAGGAAACUGGGGCUAAUACCGGAUAGGAUCUCCUGCUGCAUGGUGGGGGUUGGAAAGUUUCGGCGGUUGUGGCUGGACUCGCUGCUUAUCAGCUUCUUUGUGGGGUAGUUGCUUUCCAAGGCUGUGACGGGUAGCCGGCCUGAGAGGGUGAACGGCGACCUUGCGACUGAGAUACGGACCAGACUGCUACGUGAGGCAGUAGUGGGGAGUAUUGCACAAUGGGGGGAAGCGUGAUGCAGCAGCGCCGCGUGCGGGAUGACGGCCUUUGGGUUGUGAACCGCUUUCGCAUGUGACGAAGCGUGAGUGACGGUAAUGAGUAAAGAAGCAACGGCUAACUACGUG
rnacentral:rRNA from 1 species